AACUGUGCUAAUAGAUCUCUCAGGUCUUACAUUUGAGGAAUUUUAUCCAUAGCAUUGCUGUCCCAUAAAGAGAAUGUAUUAGAGAAGGGCAGCAAAGGAGAGCUACCAGCCACCAGUAUAGUAGUUUCAACAUUGGCUCUGCGCAGCUCCCGUGUUGAGGAGAAUGAGAGGCAGCAGCUGGGAACAUGCCAAAAACUGAACUGAGGGAGCUCCAUCAUCUUGAUCUGCUGGCUCCCUAAACAGGCACAUGCCAUGCAGCACAGCUUCUGUCUCUUGCACAUACUCUCAACUGGAACACUGCAGAUCCAGCCACUGGCUUGUAGCCGUCCUAGGAGGGGUAAGGAACAAAUAUGUGCUUUUCCUAAGUUUUUCUGCUGCUUCUGGCCUUCACCGCUUUCGUCUGUUACCCUGCUUAAUUAUUAAAUACAUGUGUUUCAUCUGUGUUGCUCUGUCUAGAAAAAAUGCAGAAAAUUUAUACACACGGUACAAGUUUAUGUUUUUCUUUUACAUUUUUUAUGGCCAUCUGGGAUGCCCCAAACCUGUGGCACACAUACCAUAAACUAUUCAAGAUAAAGUACAUACUGGAAUUUUUAUUAAGACCAUUCAUUGCAAUAUUUGCAUAAUCCUUUUCCUGAAGUCAUUCAUUCAUGUUUCUGUUGACAGGGGAGUCAAGAUUGUUUUAUAACCAGCUCCUCAGUACAAGUGCGCUGCUUGACUUCAAGUAGAGAACAAGUAACCGCACCUGCUUAACUGUUAAGAAUGGGAUCACCCUUGUUCCUGUUGAUGCCUGCUCAUGAUCUGGACUCCAGGACUCAAGCAGCACUGAGGGACACAUCAGGCAACACAAAUGGUAAGAAGCUGGCUCAUCUUUCUUCAUCUCCUUGCUGCCUUCCCAGGAUUUGAAAGUGCGACAAAGUAUUUCAU